rnacentral:RNase_P_RNA from 11 species
UUCGGCAGACAAACUGGUCGAGAGGAAAGAAAGAGGAACAAAUUAUUGCGAUCCACAUAAGAAGCACAAAAAGAAAUAACUUUUUUUCUUUCUCCCUCUUUUUCUUUUUCUUUUCCUUCUUCAUGAGAGACUCAAAGAAUCAGGUAAGGAAGGCCGU